GCCGAGGUCCUCUUCUAGGAUUGGUUGUCCACUCAUAACCAUAAGAUAAUUAAAACGGGGGGGGGCAGGGUAAAAAAAAAACCCUUUUAUCAGCCAUAGGUUAAUGCAAGUGUUUAACAGAUGCUUCGCUAUUAAAAUAUUUCCCCCCAAUACUGAAGAAUCUUAAACCAGCAACCCUAACAGAGAUUGCGAAGAUUUUCAAAGUGGGGCACCUCGAUUUCUCGAAUCUGUGGUGUGGCGAAUAUCCGUGUUCCUCCUGCUUAACUAGCCUGUUUGGCACAGUUCAUUCUCGAGCAAUUCGUCACCUCCUGGGGGUCUUCUCUUCCCGUCUACAGGAGAGUGUGACUUCAGAAAGAACUUCGGAUUGGCCAAGGCAGGUCUGAUUCUAUUUAUUCUAAAGACAGAGUUGGAGAUGGGCUACCAUUGGUGUUGAUUGAGAUGACAAGCAGUCACCUGAGCCCAUACAGCUGGUAAGUAGAACAGUACUGGAGAGAUGGCUCAGCAGUUAAGAGCACUGACUGCUCUUCCAGAGAUCCUGAGUUCAAUUCCCAGCAACCACAUGGUGGCUCACAAACAUCUGUAAUGAGAUCAGGUGCCCUCUUCUGGUGCCUUUGAAGACAAAGACAGUGUAGUGUCAUAUAUAUAAAAUAAAUAAAUCUUUAGAAAUUUGAAAAUAA
rnacentral:lncRNA from 1 species